AUUGGACGCUGGCGGCAUGCCUUACACAUGCAAGUCGAACGGCAGCACGGGAGCAAUCCUGGUGGCGAGUGGCGAACGGGUGAGUAAAGUAUCGGAACGUGCCCAGUCGUGGGGGAUAACGUAGCGAAAGUUACGCUAAUACCGCAUACGAUCCAUGGAUGAAAGCGGGGGAUCGCAAGACCUCGCGCGACUGGAGCGGUCGAUAUCAGAUUAGGUAGUUGGUGGGGUAAAGGCUCACCAAGCCGACGAUCUGUAGCUGGUCUGAGAGGACGACCAGCCACACUGGGACUGAGACACGGCCCAGACUCCUACGGGAGGCAGCAGUGGGGAAUUUUGGACAAUGGGCGCAAGCCUGAUCCAGCCAUGCCGCGUGCAGGAUGGAGGCCUUCGGGUUGUAAACUGCUUUUGUACGGAACGAAAAGGUUUGGCUUAAUACGUUGAACUCAUGACGGUACCGUAAGAAUAAGCACCGGCUAACUACGUGCCAGCCGCCGCCGUAA
rnacentral:rRNA from 1 species